UGAGAACUCAUAUCCGUAAACUCAUAUCCGUAAAUAAGUUGGGCCUAUCAAUGUUGAAAGUCCAACAUUAAGUCAUCGGUAUUGGAUGAGACGGAGAACAUCGAUAGAACCGCAAAUUCUUCCGUAAUAAGAGUGAAUGGAGAAGAGGAUCACCCUCGUUCAAACCGUUGCCACCGCCGGCGUUUUCUCUGCCAUUUCCUUCUGGUAUGGAUUCAUGUUUGGCAGAGAAUCCUCUCGCAAAGAACUCUCUCACCUAAUCGAAGAUCUCCGUCGUGGUAAUCCAACUCCUCCUCCCCAUCCUUGAAGCUCUUUGAUCAAUGAAGUGAUUGCACCGUCCAGAGUAGCUUCACUCACCAUGUCGCUUCUUGUAUUGGUUUCAAUUUUGUUAAAAAUAAUUUCGCUUAUCUAGUUCAGUAACGUGUUCAAAUUUCCUAGUGUACUUUUUCCCUAACAAUUUUGUAAGUAAUGUUGAUUUUUUGUUAUUAACCACUCUUGAAAGCAAAAUUAAACGGUGUUGCAUGUUCUUAUGACUGGGAAUCGCUUAGUAGCUGUGUUUUCUUGGAGAGUAUUUCAAAAUAAGAUACCAUCCGAAGUUAAUUGGGGGAAGUGAUGUGUUUUUCAACAUGAGCCGAUUUAAUGUGUCUUUGGAUUGGGUGGGUGUAUUCACUGCAUUUCAUAAUAAGGGAUUGGGAAUUUUUACUCAAUUCUCAGGUCAACUAGGUUGAGGAAGAAAGUUGAUAGACAAAGCAAAGGUGGUUUGGUUUGCAUCGACACAAAGGUUGUGGAAGGUGAGAAGGGAUUACUUUUUUAAAGUAAAAAUGUUAGCUGCUGAGUUGGUGAUCAGGGAUAGAGGGUGUUCAAGUUCUUUCAUGGAAAUGACUUAGGAGAAAAUGGAAGGGAUUUAAAUUGCCGAGUUGCAGAUGUUUUGGAGGGUGCUAAGGAUAUUUUUUAAUUACUUAUGGUUGUUAAGGCUAUAAAACUAAUGGGAAUAGUGUUCCUGUCAUCACUAUAUGAAAUGAGGUGGAACAAAAAUUUGGUGUUAUGAAAAAUGUUGUGGCAGAGUGGCAGAGUCAUUGGAAGUUUAUCAUGGGUGAUUUAUCUUGUGUGACAUCUAUUGUAAAUUCUUUAUGAAUAUGUAGAGUUAUAAUAUCAGGUUCAAGAAUUGGUACCAGUAGGUGUGAUGGUUUCUAUGUAUUAUAUUCUUAUGGUUCAAAUGACAAAUUAACUGAUUCUUCUGCUUA